UACGUAGGGUGCAAGCGUUGUCCGGAAUAUUGGGCGUAAAGAGCUCGUAGGCGGUCUGUCACGUCGGCUGUGAAAUCCCGAGGCUCAACCUCGGGUCUGCAGUCGAUACGGGCAAACUAGAGUAUUGCAGGGGAGACUGGAAUUCCUGGUGUAGCGGUGAAAUGCGCAGAUAUCAGGAGGAACACCGGUGGCGAAGGCGGGUCUCUGGGCAAUAACUGACGCUGAGGAGCGGAAGCGUGGGGAGCGAACAGG
rnacentral:rRNA from 1 species